GCCUAACUGGCUCAGUUGGUAGAGCAUGUGACUCUUGACCUCAGGGUCAUGAGUUCAAGCCCCAUGUUUUGGG
rnacentral:tRNA from 1 species